rnacentral:rRNA from 1 species
AGUGAACGCUGGCGGUAGGCCUAACACAUGCAAGUCGAACGGCAGCACAGUAAGAGCUUGCUCUUACGGGUGGCGAGUGGCGGACGGGUGAGGAAUACAUCGGAAUCUACUUUUUCGUGGGGGAUAACGUAGGGAAACUUACGCUAAUACCGCAUACGACCUACGGGUGAAAGCAGGGGAUCUUCGGACCUUGCGCGAGUGAAUGAGCCGAUGUCGGAUUAGCUAGUUGGCGGGGUAAAGGCCCACCAAGGCGACGAUCCGUAGCUGGUCUGAGAGGAUGAUCAGCCACACUGGAACUGAGACACGGUCCAGACUCCUACGGGAGGCAGCAGUGGGGAAUAUUGGACAAUGGGCGCAAGCCUGAUCCAGCCAUGCCGCGUGGGUGAAGAAGGCCUUCGGGUUGUAAAGCACUUUUGUUGGGAAAGAAAAGCAGAAGGUUAAUACCCCGCUGUUCUGACGUUACCCAAAGAAUAAGCACCGGCUAACUUCGUG